UACGGUAGGGUGCGAGCGUUUGUCCGGAAUUAUUGGGCGUAAAGAGCUUGUAGGCGGUUUGUCGCGUCUGCCCGUGAAAAUCCGGGGCUCAACCCCGGACUUGCGGUGGGUACGGGCAGACUAGAGUGUGGUAGGGGAGACUGGAAUUCCUGGUGUAGCGGUGAAAUGCGCAGAUAUCGGGAGGAACACCGGUGGCGAAGGCGGUUCUCUGGGCCUUACCUGACGCUGAGGAGCGAAAGCGUGGGGAGCGAACAGG
rnacentral:rRNA from 1 species